rnacentral:rRNA from 1 species
GCAUAUCAAUAAGCGGAGGAAAAGAAACCAACAGGGAUUGCCCCAGUAACGGCGAGUGAAGCGGCAACAGCUCAAAUUUGAAAUCUGGCCCCUAGGGCCCGAGUUGUAAUUUGCAGAGGAUGCUUUUGGCAAGGUGCCUUCCGAGUUCCCUGGAACGGGACGCCAUAGAGGGUGAGAGCCCCGUCUGGUUGGAUGCCGAGCCUCUGUAAAGCUCCUUCGACGAGUCGAGUAGUUUGGGAAUGCUGCUCUAAAUGGGAGGUAUAUGUCUUCUAAAGCUAAAUACCGGCCAGAGACCGAUAGCGCACAAGUAGAGUGAUCGAAAGAUGAAAAGCACUUUGAAAAGAGGGUUAAAUAGUACGUGAAAUUGUUGAAAGGGAAGCACUUAUGACCAGACUUGGACCCGGUGAAUCAUCCAGCGUUCUCGCUGGUGCACUUUGCCGGGCUCAGGCCAGCAUCAGUUUGCCCCGGGGGAUAAAGGCUUUGGGAAUGUGGCUCCCUCGGGAGUGUUAUAGCCCAUUGCACAAUACCCUGGGGCGGACUGAGGUUCGCGCAUCUGCAAGGAUGCUGGCGUAAUGGUCAUCAGUGACCCGUCUUGAAACACGGACCA